CCUACGGGAGGCAGCAGUGAGGAAUAUUGGUCAAUGGCCGCAGGGCUGAACCAGCCAAGUCGCGUGAGGGAUGACGGUCCUAUGGAUUGUAAACCUCUUUUGUCAGGGAGCAACGCCGGCUACGUGUAGCCGGACUGAGAGUACCUGAAGAAAAAGCAUCGGCUAACUCCGUGCCAGCAGCCGCGGUAAUACGGAGGAUGCGAGCGUUAUCCGGAUUUAUUGGGUUUAAAGGGUGCGUAGGCGGAAUGCCAAGUCAGCGGUAAAAUCGCGGGGCUCAACCUCGCUCCGCCGUUGAAACUGGCGUUCUUGAGUGGGCGAGAAGUAUGCGGCAUGCGUGGUGUAGCGGUGAAAUGCAUAGAUAUCACGCAGAACUCCGAUUGCGAAGGCAGCAUACCGGCGCCCAACUGACGCUGAAGCACGAAAGCGUGGGUAUCGAACAGGAUUAGAUACCCUUGUAGUC
rnacentral:rRNA from 1 species